rnacentral:rRNA from 1 species
GAUGAACGCUGGCGGCGUGCUUAACACAUGCAAGUCGAACGAAGCACUUUUACAGAUUUCUUCGGAAUGAAGUUUUAGUGACUGAGUGGCGGACGGGUGAGUAACGCGUGGGUAACCUGCCCCAGACCGGGGGAUAACAGUCGGAAACGACUGCUAAUACCGCAUAAGCGCACAGUGCCGCAUGGCACGGUGUGAAAAACUCCGGUGGUCUGGGAUGGACCCGCGUCCGAUUAGUUAGUUGGUGGGGUAACGGCCCACCAAGACUGCGAUCGGUAGCCGACCUGAGAGGGUGACCGGCCACAUUGGGACUGAGACACGGCCCAGACUCCUACGGGAGGCAGCAGUGGGGAAUAUUGCACAAUGGAGGAAACUCUGAUGCAGCGACGCCGCGUGAGCGAAGAAGUAUUCGGUAUGUAAAGCUCUGUCAGCAGGGAAGAUAAUGACGGUACCUGACCAAGAAGCCCCGGCUAACUACGUG